AGAAGUCUGGGGAAGAGCCGGCGAAGAGCAAAGAGAUAAUACAGUACUCCCAGCUAUAGCAAGCGGCAGUUAUGGAGCAUGCGCAGCAGCAGGGGCGGCCGCAGUCAAGGGAUUUGUACAGCCCUGUAGGAGACACCUCCAGAGAAAGUAACAGCUCUCAAUUGAUUAGCUGAGGAAGACACCAGACAAAUGAGUUACACUGUUUUGGACUCCCCAACACAACCCAGCCACCGGCUGAAUGCCACCAAAUUACCUUCUAGUUAAAGGUUUAUGGAGCAAACGAAUCACCUAUUCAAUAUCUGCUUGAAUUUCUGACUCAAAAUACAUCAGGUAUGUACUGUGUGACUUAAAUAUUGAGUUUAUUUUUAUCAAAUACCUGUCAAGAAAGAAAGUCAAUUCUGAAACAGCAGAAGCUCAAAGUUCUACAGAUGGCUUUCAAAGGAAUUUGAAUUAGACAUCAUUUGAUGUUGCAAAAAACAAUGACAUCUUUUAUAGCUCUAAACAUCAGUUUUUAAAUUAGAGAUUGAUCUAUAAAGGAGCUAAGUUUGCAUAAUCAUUAUUCAUUUUAAGAUAAUAAUAUAUGAUAGGUACUAAAUUAUAUAGUAGUUUUGUGUAGAGAUUUAUACAUAUUUUCUGAUUGCCAUCAUCACAUCAUCUAAUUAUUUAGAAAUUUCAUUUUCAGAACCUUGGAUUUUGGACAUAGAGCUUUGAAAAAUAUUGUACUUUAUUUUGAGAUGAAAAUGUGGUCAUUCACAUUUUCACAGACCUGCGUGGAGCAAUCUGCAGGGUGGGGGUGAGAUUUGGGAGUAGAGGGGAGGUGGUAAUAGACACACACAAAACUUGUUAAUUGCUAUACAAGAAGCAUGUGCUUUAAAAAUGACAAUAACAAUCACAAAACCAG
rnacentral:lncRNA from 10 species